CACAUAUUUUUUUCAGUGACUCCCCUCCCCCCUCCAUGUUGCUCAUCCUGCCUUUUUUCACUCAAUGGACUCGACGAAUUAGCGUUGUACUUGAAAAAUGAAACCGUACUAUUCUACAAACACUUUUCAUAUUCUUUGACAAGUUUUAGGUACUCGACAUAGGAUGGUGAUUUUUUUUCUGAUUCCGUUUACUUGAGUAAAUUCUUAACAUGUAACCAACCAUGCUUUGUUAAAAAAAAACCGGAGAUGGCAAACCAUGGCACAGGGGAAUUAAAUGUAGUUAAUAAACUCCAGCGAUAUACUUCAUGAGGUUUUGC
rnacentral:lncRNA from 1 species